rnacentral:lncRNA from 1 species
GUGGCUUUUAUUGUGAUACUUUUUUUUUUUUUUUUUGAGACAGGGUCAUGCUAUGUAGUGCAGGCCGGCCUUGAAUUCACAGUGAUCUUCCUGCCUCAGCCUCCCUAGUGCUGGGACUACAGGGGUGUCCCACAAACCCAGCUACGUUUUUAAUUUCAACAGUCGUAUUUUUUCCCACCACACCUCGUACGUUGCCGUUUGUUCCGUGAUGAACAUGUACCAGCCACUUGGCUGGUUUGUCACUUCAUGCUGAUGGCUCUGCUGGCCAUUUUGCAGUCUCUGCUUUAGUGAGAAAUAAAACUUUAUUCGGAAACACAGCAGCUGCCUGCUGAAUCUACACGGAGAAAAGUGGGGCCACGCACAGCGCUCAGGGAUCUUAAAGCAGCUUUGAGCAUAAAAGUCAGACACACAGAUGGACGUCAGUUCCACUGACCGAAAGGUCAUUUAAGAGGCUGCCGGCAUCGUCCAACUUCUCCAUACCCCUAUUUCCUACCCUGCCUCCUGAGGAUGGAGGCUUAGAUGGUCAUUCCGGACUCCCGACGCUGCCAGCCCCUCGGUGAACGUGAGCGCCAUUGGCGUCCGUGGCCUCUGUUUCCGUGGCAACCCAGUAACCAUUAAUUUUCAAUUAAAGGAGACAAAAAGCUCAAUGACAGCUCCAGGUCCGCUGAAGAUGUCAAGAAUGUGUAUUAAUAUACAGCACGAGAGCAUAAUUGUGUGUCCAUCUUCCAGAGCAGCGAAAAAUGGAGGGAUAAUUACCAGCUCGAAAGCCACUCUGUAAUUUAGUUCUUACUGUCGCCAAGCCCUGCACAUUAGCAUAAAUUAAAAGCAGAGUUUAUUGUUAU